AUUGAACGCUGGCGGCCGGCCUAACACAUGCAAGUCGAGCGAGCGGCGGACGGGUGAGUAAUGUAUGGGGACUGCCCGAUAGAGUGGGAUAACUACUGGAAACGGUAGCUAAUACCGCAUACUAUCGGAUAACCCAUAUGGGUUUAGCUAGUAGGUUAGGUAAUGGCUCACCUAGGCGACGCUCCCUAGCUGGUCUGAGAGGAUGAUCAGGCACACGUGGACUUAGACACGGCCCAGACUCCUACGGAGGCAGCAGUGGGGAAUAUUGCACAAUGGGCGCAAGCCUGAUGCAGCCAUGCCGCUUGUAUGAAGAAGGCCCUAGGGUUGUAAAGUACUUUCAGUCGGGAGGCGUUACCGACAGAAGAAGCACCGGCUAACUCCGUGCCAGCAGCCGCGGUAAUUC
rnacentral:rRNA from 1 species